ACAACAUUCGGACCGUCGGUCUACCGAGCAAUAUCAUCAGCUCGGUGGAAGAUUUGUGGU
rnacentral:pre_miRNA from 1 species